AGAGUUUGAUCCUGGCUCAGAUUGAACGCUGGCGGCAUGCUUUACACAUGCAAGUCGAACGGUAACGCGGGGGCAACCCUGGCGACGAGUGGCGAACGGGUGAGUAAUACAUCGGAACAUGUCCUGGAGUGGGGGAUAGCUCGGCGAAAGCCGGAUUAAUACCGCAUAAGCUCCGAGGAGGAAAGCGGGGGACCUUCGGGCCUCGCGCUGCAGGAGUGGCCGAUGUCGGAUUAGCUAGUUGGUGAGGUAAAGGCUCACCAAGGCGACGAUCCGUAGCUGGUCUGAGAGGAUGAUCAGCCACACUGGGACUGAGACACGGCCCAGACUCCUACGGGAGGCAGCAGUGGGGAAUUUUGGACAAUGGGGGCAACCCUGAUCCAGCCAUGCCGCGUGAGUGAAGAAGGCCUUCGGGUUGUAAAGCUCUUUCGGACGGGACGAAAAGGUUAUGGUGAAUAGCCAUGACUAAUGACGGUACCGUAAU
rnacentral:rRNA from 1 species